ensembl:snRNA U6 U6 spliceosomal RNA
GUGCUCGCUUCGGCAGCACACAUACUAAAAUUGGAACGAUACAGAGAAAAUUCGCAUGGCCCCUGCGCAAGGAUAAUACACAAAUUCAUGAAGCGUUCCAUAUUAAA